rnacentral:rRNA from 1 species
GACGAACGCUGGCGGCGUGCUUAACACAUGCAAGUCGAACGGAAAGGCCCUGCUUGCAGGGUGCUCGAGUGGCGAACGGGUGAGUAACACGUGGGUGAUCUGCCCCUUACUUUGGGAUAAGCCUGGGCAACUGGGUCUAAUACUGGAUAGGACCAUGCUGUAGGUGGUGUGGUGGAAAGAUUAGUUUCGGUAAGGGAUGAGCUCGCGGCCUAUCAGCUUGUUGGUGGGGUAAUGGCCUACCAAGGCGUCGACGGGUAGCCGGCCUGAGGGGGUGGACGGCCACAUUGGGACUGAGAUACGGCCCAGACUCCUACGGGAGGCAGCAGUGGGGAAUAUUGCACAAUGGGCGCAAGCCUGAUGCAGCGACGCCGCGUGGGGGAUGACGGCCUUCGGGUUGUAAACUCCUUUCAGCCAUGACGAAGCCCUUGUGGUGACGGUAGUGGUAGAAGAAGCACCGGCUAACUACGUG